AAGGUAAGUCAAGUCAGAGCAGAAAGUCUUCAAUUCAUAGUCAUGGCAUUAAAUGUUUUUUAGUAUUUUCGGUUCGGUUUUCUAACACAAAUAUCUAAACAUCCUCAAAUCGACAGAUUUACAUGAGAUGCAAAAUGAAGAAAUUAAGUGUCUUUCUGAGAAAUGUAACAAAAUGAAAUGAUGGCUUUGAUUUGACUCUCUUGACAGAUUUUUGUACUUUUUUUAAUCGUAAACUCACUUCAUUUGGUUCAGUUUCCCAGAAAACAAGACUUAUGUCACUUUGUUUAUUAAAUGAAUAUAACUUAUUGUAAAAAUCUUUAGACACUUUUACUGGAAAACACUGAGGAAGAUCAUCAUUUUUUUGCCGUAUGAUCAGACAUAAAAGUUAUUUCCGUAUUUUGUUGUGGUUGGGAGUAGAGCUAUUUUUUUGUAAAAUGAUUAAAAAAGUAAUACAGAUUGGUUGCAACUCAUUGUGUUCCUUAAAAUAUCUUUACCUGAUCUUAAAAAGGUCUUAAAGUCUUACACUUAUUUUCACAAAACCUGCAGAAACCCCGUAAUUCAAAAUGAUUUGAAGAACUGAAUUAAAAUCCUUAUCCAAAAAUCCCCCGUGUUCCAAACGCACGAGGAGAGACCGAAAGAGCGCGUAGCAAAAGCACUGCAGGAUUUUGAUUUGGCUUUGAGAGGAAAGAAAAAAACGUGCUCAGUUCCUCAAACAGGGCAAGAAGAAAGAGUUAACGGUACAGAAGAAAGUGAAGCUGUGCCUGAUGUAUAAGAAGCACAACUUCAGCGUAACAUCAGCAUCUUUAUCAUUUUAUUAGCAUCCUCCCCUUCAAUCCCUUCCCCAACGUAAAACCUACAAAUGAAAACCCGUGCUUCUGUUUGUCCGUGCGUUUGUCAUGGUAGAGCAGAGCAAAUACGAACCAACAGCUAAUGAGCAUCAGAAAUAAGAUGGAUUUCCCUUGAUUAAAGCCAAAAGAUUCCUGCAGAACGAGAGGAAGCUUCUGUUAGAGAUCAGCCAGCCGUCUGAAGGGCGCUCAGAGAUGUUAGAGAGCCCACAAUAUCACAAGACUUUACAGCCCACAUCAAACAAUGAAUCCGCAUCCGUGACAGGAAACUCAUUUAUCAGCCAACCUUCAAGAUAAUGUAGAGAGAAGCCUUCUGGUACCAUAAGAAAUCAGUGAAGCUCUCACAGUAUUCUGCACAGUAAAGAUGCAUAAUAUGAUAAAAUAUUUUU
ensembl:lncRNA